AAGCCGUAUGUGAGAAUUGGAGGGAGCUAAACAAAUAAAUCAACCCCUCAUUAAUGGGAAAUUUCUAAUUUGUUUAGUUUCCUCCAAUAUCUUAUCUCCGGCAU
rnacentral:pre_miRNA from 1 species